rnacentral:rRNA from 1 species
UGAGGAAUAUUGCGCAAUGGACGAAAGUCUGACGCAGCCAUGCCGCGUGCAGGAUUGAAGGCCCUAUGGGUUGUAAACUGCUUUUGUACGGGAAUAAACCCUUCUACGUGUAGAAGGCUGAAGGUACCGUAAGAAUAAGCACCGGCUAACUCCGUGCCAGCAGCCGCGGUAAUACGGAGGGUGCAAGCGUUAUCCGGAUUUAUUGGGUUUAAAGGGUCCGUAGGCGGAUCGAUAAGUCAGUGGUGAAAGCCCGCAGCUCAACUGCGGAACUGCCAUUGAUACUGUCGAUCUUGAGUAUAAUUGAAGUGGGCGGAAUGUGUGGUGUAGCGGUGAAAUGCUUAGAUAUCACACAGAACACCGAUUGCGAAGGCAGCUCACUAAUUUGUAACUGACGCUGAGG